AUUUUUAGCUGAAAAGACGUAAAGGCAGUCAGCCCAGUGGUGUUUCUGGAGAGGGAUUCCUUCAGAAAUGGAGAAGACAGAAAGCUGCGGAGGCAGAUAUUUGCAGCAGUCUAAAAUAUCGAGCUCAACAGCUAUUUUAAGAGCCAACCCUCACAAACCUUCCUAAAACCUAAAAGAGCUAUUACUGAGUCUCAGCGAAUCUUGCCAUGAUCAGCUCUUCCCAGAAGAGAAGGAAGACCAAGGAAAUUAUUUGCUCAGGAUGAGAAAUGAAGACGGCCAUCUUGUGCUCAAACAAACAGAAGUCCUUUGAUGAUCUCAUCAGCCAAAUGAGGGGUUUUGACCAAGUGAUGCUCUUGAAAGGAGAGAAAGAAGAGGAUGUGGUAAAUUCUCUUCAGAGAAAAAGCUUCUCAAAAGGUCUUAAAGCAGCUUGAAGAAUGGUCUGGGAUGUUAGGACUGAGAGAUCCUCUGGCUGAGAACAAGCUACACCUCAUCAGUGCUGGACAUCAACCACAAACUGUUUCCAGACACGAGAGAAGAAGAACACGAUGGGGAGAUGAAACCAGUUUAGAUGUGAUGAUAAGGAAUCAUUAUUUUCUGGAACAGUAUCACAUGUCUUAUAUGUAUCACAUGAUCUGUAUCACAGUUGACUGGAUGGGACUGUGUGACUUUUAAGGACAUUUCAUCACUCAUCCGUGGGAACUGAUUUAUAUAUGAGGUUAAUGUAUUUUUGAUGAUAAUUAUUUUCAUUGAAUCUUAUUUGUCUUGAUGCUACUUUAUCAACUUUAUAGUCUAUGCUUCAAUAAAAUGAAAAUGGUGAAUAUUGUGUUCUGAAGAUUCUUGGUAAAUACAUCAUUUUACUAGGUAGGCUCAUAUGUGUUUAUUUUAGACUUGGAAAAACGACAUAUUAAUUAUUGGGAUUAUUUUUUUAUUUAAGACAUGAACAUUUUUGAUCGGAUUAAUAACAUCUGGGACAUCAGUACACCAGAAAGUAUUUUUUUAUAUUUUAGUAACAAAUAUGCACAUUUUUUUGUGAAAUACAGGGAGUUACAAGAUUAAUUAUUCUGCAUUACAAGAUGGUGCCAUGGGCUUUAUUGUUACAAACACUUAA